GACGAACGCUGGCGGUGUGCCUAAUACAUGCAAGUCGAACGAGAGCGACCGGUGCUUGCACUGGUCAAUCUAGUGGCGAACGGGUGAGUAACACGUGGGUAACCUGCCCAUCAGAGGGGGAUAACAUUCGGAAACGGAUGCUAAAACCGCAUAGGUCUUCGAACCGCAUGGUUUGAAGAGGAAAAGAGGCGCAAGCUUCUGCUGAUGGAUGGACCCGCGGUGCAUUAGCUAGUUGGUGAGGUAACGGCUCACCAAGGCCGUGAUGCAUAGCCGACCUGAGAGGGUGAUCGGCCACAUUGGGACUGAGACACGGCCCAAACUCCUACGGGAGGCAGCAGUAGGGAAUCUUCCGCAAUGGACGCAAGUCUGACGGAGCAACGCCGCGUGAGUGAAGAAGGUUUUCGGAUCGUAAAACUCUGUUGUUAGAGAAGAACAAGUGCUAGAGUAACUGUUAGCGCCUUGACGGUAUCUAACCAGAAAGCCACGGCUAACUACGUG
rnacentral:rRNA from 1 species